rnacentral:rRNA from 1 species
UGUGGCAAUUCCACCCUGAAUGCUUGUGAUCUCAUCUGAUCUCAGAAGAUAAGCAGGGUCAGGCCUGGUUAGUACUUGAAUGAGGGGUUUUGCCUUCU